rnacentral:rRNA from 1 species
ACUACAGGUGGCAGCAGUGGGGAAUAUUGGACAAUGGGCGAAAGCCUGAUCCAGCCAUGCCGCGUGUGUGAAGAAGGCCUUCGGGUUGUAAAGCACUUUCAGUGGGGAAGAAAGCCUUGGGGCUAAUACCCUCGAGGAAGGACAUCACCCACAGAAGAAGCACCGGCUAACUCCGUGCCAGCAGCCGCGGUAAUACGGAGGGUGCGAGCGUUAAUCGGAAUUACUGGGCGUAAAGCGCGCGUAGGCGGUCUGAUAAGCCGGUUGUGAAAGCCCCGGGCUCAACCUGGGAACGGCAUCCGGAACGGUCAGGCUAGAGUGCAGGAGAGGAAGGUAGAAUUCCCGGUGUAGCGGUGAAAUGCGUAGAGAUCGGGAGGAAUACCAGUGGCGAAGGCGGCCUUCUGGACUGACACUGACGCUGAGGUGCGAAAGCGUGGGUAGCAAACAGGAUUAGAUACCCUAGUAGUC